AUUGAACGCUGGCGGCAGGCCUAACACAUGCAAGUCGAACGAGUGGCGGACGGUUGAGUAAUGUCUGGGAAACUGCCUGAUGGAGGGGGAUAACUACUGGACACGGUAGCUAAUACCGCCUACCAUCGGAUGUGCCCAGAUGGGAUUAGCUAGUAGGGUGGGUAAAGGCUCACCUAGGCGAAGAUCCCUAGCUGGUCUGAGAGGAUGACCAGCCACACUGGAACUGAGACACGGUCCAGACUCCUACGUGAGGCAGCAGUGGGGAAUAUUGCACAAUGGGCGCAAGCCUGAUGCAGCCAUGCCGCGUGUGUGAAGAAGGUCUUCGGAGUGUAAAGCACUUUAAGUUGGGAGGCGUUACCAACAGAAUAAGCACCGGCUAACUUCGUGCCAGCAGCCGCGGUAAUUC
rnacentral:rRNA from 1 species